UUAUUAAGGGUGCAGGGCGGAUGCCUUGGCACUAGGAGCCGAUGAAGGACGUGAUAAGCUGCGAUAAGCUUCGGGGAGUUGCACGUAAACUUUGAUCCGAAGAUUUCCGAAUGAGGAAACUCACUUAGAGUAAUGUCUAAGUAUCAUUAAGUGAAUACAUAGCUUAAUGAGGGGAACUCAGGGAACUGAAACAUCUAAGUACCUGAAGGAAGAGAAAGAAAUUCGAUUCCGUAAGUAGCGGCGAGCGAACGCGGAUUAGCCCAAACCAAUAAAGUUUUCUUUAUUGGGGUUGCGGACAUAUCAUAACGAAGAGGUAUCGUAAUUGAAGAGGUUUGGAAAGACCCACCACAGAAGGUAAUAGUCCU
rnacentral:rRNA from 1 species